UACGAAGGGGGCGAGCGUUGUUCGGAAUCACUGGGCGUAAAGCGCACGUAGGCGGACUCUUAAGUCAGGGGUGAAAUCCUGGAGCUCAACUCCAGAACUGCCUUUGAUACUGGGAGUCUUGAGUUCGGGAGAGGUGAGUGGAACUGCGAGUGUAGAGGUGAAAUUCGUAGAUAUUCGGAAGAACACCAGUGGCGAAGGCGGCUCACUGGCCCGGUACUGACGCUGAGAUGCGAAAGCGUGGGGAGCAAACAGG
rnacentral:rRNA from 1 species